rnacentral:rRNA from 1 species
UACGUAGGGUGCAAGCGUUAAUCGGAAUUACUGGGCGUAAAGCGUGCGCAGGCGGUUAUGUAAGACAGAUGUGAAAUCCCCGGGCUCAACCUGGGAACUGCAUCUGUGACUGCAUCGCUGGAGUGCGGCAGAGGGGGAUGGAAUUCCGGCGUGUAGCAGUGAAAUGCGUAGAUAUGCGGAGGAACACCGAUGGCGAAGGCAAUCCCCUGGGCCUGCACU